rnacentral:rRNA from 1 species
GUGGGGAAUCUUGCGCAAUGGGCGAAAGCCUGACGCAGCCAUGCCGCGUGAAUGAUGAAGGUCUUAGGAUUGUAAAAUUCUUUCACCGGGGACGAUAAUGACGGUACCCGGAGAAGAAGCCCCGGCUAACUUCGUGCCAGCAGCCGCGGUAAUACGAAGGGGGCUAGCGUUGCUCGGAAUUACUGGGCGUAAAGGGCGCGUAGGCGGACAGUUAAGUUGGGGGUGAAAGCCCGGGGCUCAACCUCGGAACUGCCUUCAAUACUGGCUGUCUUGAGUAUGAGAGAGGUGUGUGGAACUCCGAGUGUAGAGGUGAAAUUCGUAGAUAUUCGGAGGAACACCAGUGGCGAAGGCGGCUUACUGGUCCAUUACUGACGCUGAGGUGCGAAAGCGUGGGGAGCAAACAGGAUUAGAUACCCGUGUAGUCC